rnacentral:rRNA from 1 species
GACGAACGCUGGCGGCGUGCUUAACACAUGCAAGUCGAACGGAAAGGCCCUGCUUUUGUGUGGUGCUCGAGUGGCGAACGGGUGAGUAACACGUGAGUAACCUGCCCUUGACUUUGGGAUAACUUCAGGAAACUGGGGCUAAUACCGGAUAGGAGCUCCUGCUGCAUGGUGGGGGUUGGAAAGUUUCGGCGGUUGGGGAUGGACUCGCGGCUUAUCAGCUUGUUGGUGGGGUAGUGGCUUACCAAGGCUUUGACGGGUAGCCGGCCUGAGAGGGUGACCGGCCAGAUUGGGACUGAGAUACGGCCCAGACUCCUACGGGAGGCAGUAGUGGGGAAUAUUGCACAAUGGGCGGAAGCCUGAUGCAGCAACGCCGCGUGCGGGAUGACGGCCUUCGGGUUGUAACCCGCUUUCGCCUGUGACGAAGCGUGAGUGACGGUAAUGGGUAAAGAAGCACCGGCUAACUACGUG